rnacentral:rRNA from 1 species
UACGGGAGUGGCAAGCGUUAUCCGGAAUCAUUGGGCGUAAAGCGCCUGUAGGUUGUUUAAUAAGUCUGUUGUUAAAGACUAGGGCUUAACCCUAGGAAAGCAAUGGAAACUACUAGACUUGAGUAUGAUAGGGGUAGAGGGAAUUUCUAGUGUAGCGGUGAAAUGCGUAGAUAUUAGGAAGAACACCGGUGGCGAAGGCGCUCUACUGGAUCAUUACUGACACUCAGAGGCGAAAGCUAGGGUAGCAAAAGGGAUUAGAUACCCCUGUAGUCCUAGCCGUAAACGAUGGAUACUAGAUGUUGCGUUUAUUAUGCAGUAUCGUAGCUAACGCGUUAAGUAUCCCGCCUGGGGAGUACGCUCGCAAGGGUG